GAUGAAGAACGUAGCGAAAUGCGAUACGUAGUGUGAAUUGCAGAAUUCAGUGAAUCAUCGAAUCUUUGAACGCACAUUGCGCCCCCUGGUAUUCCGGGGGGCAUGCCUGUCCGAGCGUCAUUACAACCCUCAAGCUCAGCUUGGUGUUGGGCCCCGCCGCCCCGGCGGGCCCUAAAGUCAGUGGCGGUGCCGUCCGGCUCCGAGCGUAGUAAUUCUUCUCGCUCUGGAGGUCCGGUCGCGUGCUCGCCAGCAACCCCCAAUUUUUUCAGGUUGACCUCGGAUCAGGUAGGGAUACCCGCUGAACUUAAGCAUAUCAAUAAGCGGAGGA
rnacentral:misc_RNA from 1 species